rnacentral:rRNA from 1 species
UACGUAGGGUGCGAGCGUUGUCCGGAAUUAUUGGGCGUAAAGAGCUCGUAGGCGGUCUGUCGCGUCGGUCGUGAAAACCUGCAGCUUAACUGUGGGCGUGCGGUCGAUACGGGCAUGACUGGAGUUCGGCAGGGGAGACUGGAAUUCCCGGUGUAGUGGUGGAAUGCGUAGAUAUCGGGAGGAACACCAGUGGCGAAGGCGGCUACCUGGACCGGUUCUGACACUGAGGAGCGAAAGCGUGGGGAGCGAUCCGG